AUGGAGUCUGCCAUCUAAGGAUUAAGACCUCUGAAACUUUUUCUUGGAGGUUCCAUCAAGAUAUGGUUGGCACUGCCCAUCAUCUCAGAGCCCAGCCAUCAAUCAACUGUGGGAUGCCUCAUGCUUUGCUGCUUCCUGCACCGUGAUGUGAUCAAGCAGUGCCAGUUCUGAACUCUGCUCUCUUCUUGUUAAGCAUCAAUAUUUCAUCAUUGGAAGAUAUUUAAGAGAAAAGCUGCCCUUGGUUUCAUUGGAAGACACCUUAUCAGCAUACUUGUUUAAGACAUCUGCACUCCAGGAUUCUAAAACAACUGACCUUUGCUAUCACCUCUCACGAAGUGGCUCAAUUUAUUUUACAGAAACACCACCACCAAGAGCCCUAGCAUGACUAGUUAUUAAAACCUUCUUCAUCUCACUCAGGAGAUUUAUGAUUGUCUCUAAGUUGUUCAACAACUAUUAUAUCCAUUCAUCUUGAACAAAAGGAGGACCGACAAUGUUGAACUUUACCUGAGAUCUGUUUCUGGGAAACAGUGAGGUUUAAGAAAUAUAUGCCCAUCAUUGUACUCUAAGAAAAGACUUCAAUUAAAUAUCCUUCUCCAUAAAACUGA